GUAUCCUACCACUAUAGAUAUAUAAAUCAUCAAGGGCUUUUUGCAAAGUAACAUUUUAUGGAUUGCUGAGUGUACUUUUAACAACCAAUUCAACACAAACACUUUUGCCUCAAUAGCAAACUAAUCAAAGUAGUGUUUAUUUCAAACUUGUCUUGGAUCAAAGAUUCUCAUCGGUCCUAUUUAUACCUGUUGCAGAGUGUUCCAUGAGUGAGGUGCAGUCUUUGGCCGUUUCCAAGGUGUGCGGGUGAAGAAACAGUGAAAGAACUCAUCAUGCAGAAGCGCCUUGCAACCAAAAUGUACAGCAACACUCUGAGGGAGAAUACACAGAGUUGACCUCCCUUCUUCAAGGGCAUAAGAGGACUGUGGACUUCAGCUUGAUAACCGAUUCACCUGCUAAAAGACUUGCUACUGCAAAGGAAUCCUGGUAAUUGUAUGCUUUUGGUUAUAACGUUAUUUAAGUGAGUCCCUCUAACUUUUCCCACGUUCUUUGUGUUCAGGCUAGGAUUGGUUUCAUAGACCCAGGUUAAUAAAUCCAGGGAUAUUCCUCUGGUUUAGCUAAUGAAGAACUAGUGAAAACCACAAACUCUCAUGCAGUUCACGUUGUUAUAGCUACAAACUAUAUUGUGUGAUAUGACAGACCACUUCAAUCCGUAGCCCAAUUCCAUUUCUCCUUUCUGUGUAGUCUGAUGUCACUUCACUUGCUCAGUUCCCUCCGGGUAAACCCCAGUGAGACUCAGAGUUACCGCCUCCACCCUGAGGGCUAUUCCAGAACUCAAAAUUAGGAAUACAGUUUGGCAAUGUUAUCAUCAUAUAGAUUAUUAGGUUUCGCAUGUGUGUCUCAUAUAAACGCUGCUGUUUUGGAGUGAACUGAGGGAGUGGAAGGAACCCAACUACAAAUAUCUUUCUUCCUUAUUGUUUACCUUUCAUCGAGGAAAUGUAGUUAGCAGCAAUCCCAAUCAGCAGUUGAAACAAUAACAAAGCGUUCUCGUUCUAAACCUCUGAGGAUUGCACAGGAGAAAUGUAACCACUCUCAAAUGUAUAGACUGAGCUAUGGAUGUAAGGA